rnacentral:piRNA from 1 species
UGGCAGAGAUUAGCUGUGGACCUACCUUAU